rnacentral:rRNA from 1 species
AUGCGCAAGGUUCGCUAUACUCAGCAGAACUUCUAUGAAAAGUUGUCCACCAUCAUUGAGGAGUUCCCCCGACUGGAUGACAUCCACCCUUUCUAUGUCAAUCUCCUUCAUGUGUUGUACAACAUGGAUCACUACAAACUUGCCAUGGGUCAGAUCAAUACGACUCGAAAUAUCAUUGGAAAGAUUUCCAUGGAUUAUCUGAGGCUGCUCAAGUAUGGAGACACCUUGUACCGGUACAAGUGCCUUAAGGUAGCUGCAUUAGGUCGCAUGUGUACUGUUCUAAAGUGUAUCAGUCCUAGUUUGACAUACCUGGAGCAGAUCAGGCGGCACAUGGCUAGGCUUCCAUCAAUUGACCCAAACACCCGUACUAUCUUGAUUUGUGGCUAUCUCUCUUUCAUGAACAAGGUUACAAGGGCUGAUGUGGACGUACAACCUUAUGGUUUCAUAACAAAAUCACUUUUCGUUGGCCUUGCAGAUUACAAAUAUCUUCGGUACCAAAUGAUUGACACUCCAGGGAUCCUUGAUCAGCCUUUUGAGGACAUGAACAUCAUACAAAUGUGUAGUAUCACCGCUCUUGUCCACUUGAGGGCUGUUGUGUUGUUCUUCUUGGAAAUCUCAGGGUCUUGUGGGUACACUAUUGCUCAGCAAGCAGCACUCUUCCAUAUUAUAAUAUCCUUGUUCACGAAUAAGCCUAUGCACAUUGUGUGCAACAAGACUGAUUUGUACGCUGCUGCUAAGAUGCUGUGUAUAAGGUUUUCCCUAGUAGUGCAAGAUGGAGAUCCUAGUGAAGAGGGUGUUUUGUUGACUAUGAGUGCCUUAACAGUCGAAGGUGUGAUGGCUGUUAAGAAUGCUGCAUGUGAGAGGCUUCUCGAGCAGAGAGUGGAGAUCAAGAUGAAGUCAAAGAAGAUCAAUGACUGCUUAAAUAGGUUUCAUGCUGCUAUGCCCAAGCCUCGUGACAACAGAGAUAGGCCUACUUGCAUUCAUCAGGCUGUUCUUGAAGCUCAAGCAAUUGUGGCUGCAAAGGAAAUGAAGAAGCUUGAGAGGGACCUUGAGGAUGAGAAUGGAGGUGUUGGUGUCGAUUCGGCCAGUCUCAAGAAGCAUUACUUAUUGGCCAAUGAUGAAUGGAAGGAAGAUAUUCUCCCUGAGAUUUACAUGGACAUAAUGUGUGAAGAACUAGAAAGGGAGGAGGGUCUUCGUCUUGAAGAAGAAGCUGCUCAAGCUGCUUUCAUGAUUGAUGGCCAUGAAAAAUUAACUGAAGAACAUCAUGAGAUAUUUGGUCAGAUUAGGAAGAAGGCAAUGAGCCGUCCUAUUGUUCCAAAGAAACAAGAGAAAGAUGGGAAAUUCACAACCAAGAGAUUGGGCAGGCAACUCACAUCCAUCGAGUCAAGAGGCCAUAACAGUGAGAGGUCAAUGAACAGAGCUAAUUGUGAUGACGCUAUGGACGCUGAUGGCCAACAUUCCGACAAGGAACUGCGUACAAGGUCGAGGUCUAAGUACAAAUCCCAACCAAUUGAAGUGGUCGUGCUAGGUGAUGGGCUCAGGGACACUACUCAAAAGAAGAAGGCCAUCAAGAAGUCAAGGGACUCUGUCAAGAACAGGAACAAGGAGGCUCGCCAUGGGGAGGCGGAUCGCUUGAUCCCUACCUUGAAACCGAAGCAUCUCUUCUCUGGAAGACGAGGCAUUGGAAAGACCAGAAGGCAUUAA